UGGGGAAUAUUGCACAAUGGGCGCAAGCCUGAUGCAGCCAUGCCGCGUGUGUGAAGAAGGCCUUCGGGUUGUAAAGCACUUUCAGCGAGGAGGAAGGUGGUGAACUUAAUACGUUCAUCAAUUGACGUUACUCGCAGAAGAAGCACCGGCUAACUCCGUGCCAGCAGCCGCGGUAAUACGGAGGGUGCAAGCGUUAAUCGGAAUUACUGGGCGUAAAGCGCACGCAGGCGGUUUGUUAAGUCAGAUGUGAAAUCCCCGGGCUCAACCUGGGAACUGCAUUUGAAACUGGCAAGCUAGAGUCUCGUAGAGGGGGGUAGAAUUCCAGGUGUAGCGGUGAAAUGCGUAGAGAUCUGGAGGAAUACCGGUGGCGAAGGCGGCCCCCCUGGACGAAGACUGACGCUCAGGUGCGAAAGCGUGGGGCAGCAAACAGGAUUAGAUACCCUGGUAGUCCACGCUGUAAACGAUGUCGAUUUGGAGGUUGUGCCCUUGAGGCGUGGCUUCCGGAGCUAACGCGUUAAAUCGACCGCCUGGGGAGUACGGCCGCAAGGUUAAAACUUAAAUGAAUUGACGGGGUC
rnacentral:rRNA from 1 species